CCUGUCAAAGAAAGGAGGGCACAGAGUUACACCAGCCCCUCUGACACAGGCUCAGUUAUGGUUGCAACUAACUGCCUUCAUUCUCCUACUUUGUACAGGUUAAUUUCUGGUGCCUUCCACAGAGCUGGAGGAUCAUCCAUGUCAGAAGAUAAACCGCUGGAAGAAUAGACCUAUCUCCUCUCUAUUUGUAUUUACCUCCGAAAAUCAACUUACCGAAGAUUCACUAUCACGAAUGAGGAAAUCCCCUUCAUGUCCUCUUUCAUUUAAUGCCAUUUCUGCUUGAUGCCUGGUG